UUCGCAAUGCCCGAAAGGGUGACGAAGCGACGCCGCGUGUGGGAAGAAGGCCUUCGGGUUGUAAACCACUGUCGGGAGUUAAGAAAUGCAAGGAUAUUAAUAGUGUCUUUGUUUGACUAAGGCUCCGGAGGAAGCCACGGCUAACUCUGUGCCAGCAGCCGCGGUAAUACAGAGGCGGCAAGCGUUGUUCGGAAUUAUUGGGCGUAAAGAGCACGUAGGCGGCUAUGUAAGUCGGUUGUGAAAGCCUUCCGCUCAACGGAAGAACAGCAUCCGAUACUACAUGGCUUGAGUGCGGGAGGGGAGAGUGGAACUUCUGGUGGAGCGGUGAAAUGCGUAGAUAUCAGAAGGAACGCCGGCGGCGAAAGCGGCUCUCUGGUCCACAACUGACGCUGAGUGUGCGAAAGCUAGGGGAGCAAACGGGAUUAGAUACCCCGGUAGUCCUAGCCGUAAACGAUGGGCACUAAGUAGAGGGGUUUU
rnacentral:rRNA from 1 species